GGGGGGACGGUGGGGGGGGCGGGGACCAGGGGAGGCAAUGGAUGAGCAAGGGAGAAGAGCCCGAGGGGCUGGCGCUGUUUCCCCGGGCUCCUCUGCGGCGAGCUUGUGACGGAGGCUGCGGCGAACUGCGCGGCCCCGAGCUUGAGCCCUUGGGCUUCGCACGGUGAAUUGUAGGGAUUUCCCAGGCUAAAGCAGGAGAGAAGGGGGAGGAAGAGAAUGGGGGCUCGUACACUUGGAGAGAUAGAGAAAGUUCAUGCGUGGUGGGGAAAGGUGUUUGCGGGAGAGCCCCGGCCUCACACUGGCGAGUUGAGCGCGUGCGUCUGGGGGGUGGCGUGGCGGGAGAGAUUUUGUGCUCUCGACUCCUGGCGACGUGCCGGGAGAGACUGCGCUGGCCCCAGGAAUCCCCUAGAAGAUCCGGGUCGUCACAGACAGGAUGUCAGAGGAGUCCGGGGACUGCUCCCGGGCGCGGAGGAGCUCCCUCUGCGGGAAAAGUAGACGUGGCUGAAGCCUGUGCCCGCUGCCCUGCUCCACCUCCUUUGCGCCUCCUCCGACCGGGUCCACCUGCGGCCAGCUCCCUCACCUCAAUUCCACUCUCUGGGGCCGGUCCCUUCUGGCCCUCUAGAAUCCAUUCCCGCUCCUUUCUGUGUGAUGUCCUCCUCCCGAACCCGCUGGGUCCGCGCGGUUCACGCCCCGCCUCUGGCUCCUCCCGGUGCGAGCUGCUUUCGAGGAGUCCAGGAGGCCUUACCCUGCCUCGGGCCGCCCCGGGUCUCCUUGGCCGGCGUCCUUUAAAGUUUCGGUAACUUUCGGGGACAGGACUCCUUGGCUGCGAGAGCAAUCAUCCUGGGAACUGCGGGGAGGUCGGAGAGGGCCUUCGCUGCCUCUUCAGCCCUUGAUACAGCAGCUGCGAUUUUCUGUUUCGUUUUAGAGCUAGGUGAAAGAGGAUGCGCUUCAAUGUGAAACAUGCAUCUCGGUUCUCUUUCCCGCCCUGAGAACUCUCGUGGCUCGGACCUGCUUCCUGCGACGCUCUCCAUCCUUCCGGCGGUGUGGGGGUCCCGCUGUCCAUCCUUGGACGCAGAAGUUCUUCUUUGGCUUCCUCCAGUUAGGGUAUCUCUGGGCCGGAGCACCUGUCGCUGGAGCAUCUGUCGCGGCGCGCGCUCCAUCCCGCUCAGCCCAGCCUCGGCAGCGUGACAGGUGGCCCGCAAAACAGCGUGGGGAGAGCGACGGAGGCGAGCAGCGGAUCGCACGUCUAGCCAGCACUCGGAAGCUUGAGUCUAGUCCUCGCUCACUUCCCCGUAGCCAGCUCCUAUGCCCUGUACCCGCUCAUUUUGACAUUUUUAUUUGACUUUGGCCAUAGGACUAGAAGAAUUUGGAUUUCCCCACAAAUUUAGGAGAAAAUAACGACAAUUUCUCCGAAUCCAGCAAGGCUCAGCAAAAUGUUAAUUAUUUUUGAAAAGGAUUUAUAGGAGCAGCGAUUUCCUACCUUUUGAACUAAGAAAAUGAAAAGAAUGUGAUGCCAGUGCCUAAGGCUGGUUUCUGUCCACAUUUCUCAAUCUCCUCUUACUUGAAACAGUUUGUAAAAACCUCGAUGAAGCUAAGAAAGGUACUGGCUGCACAGGAAUUUAAAGGAAGUGAACAUCAAUCUCUAAUUUAGGCAGGAAAACAGUCCCCUCUCCCCGCAAAUCCAAGGUCAAGGAAGAAAAAUAAACAGUCUGUGGUUUUAAAAUAUGCCC
ensembl:lncRNA